UUUCCGUAGGUGAACCUGCGGAAGGAUCAUUAUUGUAUAAUGAAUGGGCGGUGGCUGGCCCUCAGCGGAAUGUUCGCGCACGGCCUAUUCCCUCCACACCUGUGCACUUACUCUGUGUAUUAGCUAGUGAGGCGUGCUCUUUUACCGUUGCUCGUGAGGCGUGUCUGUUUUUGCGACAAUCAUAGACACCAUAAAAGAAUAGAAUGUGUAUUAUGGUGUACCGGCUAUAUAUACAACUUUCAACAACGGAUCUCUUGGCUCUC
rnacentral:misc_RNA from 1 species